GUGAGUGCUGCUGAGGUGGCUGGUGUGUGCAGCUAUUCCGCCCUCCCCAAGUCUGCAGCACAAAUAAGGCGCCUGUUCAGCAUUAUCCGCCUCUCGGUUUUAAAGACCAAAGGGGGACGAGACCGGGCAGUUAACAAGGUAUCAGGCUACCUCCAAGACCAGGCUUCGCCGUGGGCUCUCAGUCUUGCCACCCCCGAGCAGCCUCCCCUUUUGAAAGUAGCCCAGCGGGCUGAGGAAGAUGUGGCCGGAGGAGGUCAUUUUUCCAGACUCCAGAUUUGCAAUCAGUGAGGACACCUCCUGAACUCCAGCAUAACAAGGACAAAAACCCCAAACCAAAAUCUUCUGCAGACAAGUCAAGUCUGAGAGCAAGUAUCAAAGAAGAGGGGAAAAUAAAAACCCUUCAUCAAAAUGAGAGAUCUUGUUUUGUAGCUGAUUUUGUUAAUGCCUAUGAUGUUAGCAAAACCAAGCCUGCCCCUCGAUAAAAAAAUCUGCCUUUGAUUUCAUGCUCUUCUGGGAAUACUUGGGGGAAGAAAAAACUCUCACUGAACAAAUUCAUAAGAUAUAAACCACAUUUACUGCAGUGCUCGUUUUUGUUUUAAGCCUGAGGAUGAGCCCUGCCACCACACUGUUACUGGAAAAAAUGAUUUGAUUUUCUUCAAUUAUCCGUUCAAGAAAACAAAGAAUCAAAUUGCCAGUCAGCUAAACAGCUUUUUUUCCCCCCUCUAGAUAGAGGGCAACAGAACACACAGGUUUCUGGCUUAUACACUGUUUGGAUAUAGAUGACCUGCAUCGUAAACUUGGUGACUUAUCCUGUUAUUCCUAUGCUACGUGGCUUCAUGAACAAACAAAGCUUCUGAGCCUCACCUAUGCCUGGAGAACUCGAGGAAAAGAACAUCUUACGAAUGACACAGGGAAUCGCAGCUCUUGCUUCUUCCGAAAUUUUUACCGAGUAAGAACAACUAUUGAAUCCCAAUGAGGCCCAAAUUCAAACAAGUUCCUGUACCCGCACUUUUGGCCUCAACAGAAUAUGACAACUUGACUAAACUAAACACAACGAGAGACACUGAAACUAAGCAGCUAGAGGGGUCCCUCUCAUCUACUAUUGCACUGAUAAUAGUGCUGAUUAUUAUUUUCUCUUUGAUAAUGACAUCCCUAGUAACCUACUGUUUUCACAAGUGGAAACUAAGAGGUAAAAAACUGCAGAAAGCACAAGAGGAGUAUCAGAAAGACCACGAAAAGAGCAUUUUUCAAAGCACGUCUGAACUUAUUUCAUGAAAAAUGGAUCCAACAUGGGAUAGCCUUGCAUUAUCAGAAAAUGAAAAUAAUAAAAGAAUGGCAACUAUGAAAUUUCCAAGCAAACAUAUCCUUGUUUUAUCUCAUUUAUAAGAAUUGUUAGCAGUUUGGAGAUUUCUUACAGCUUUCAUAUACAUAUAUAUAUAUAUUUAUAUAUUUAGUCUCAUUUGUGCAAGGUAAAAUCCAUGUAUUUUUAAUCUCUGCUGUAUUACUAGAACAGUACCCUGAAAUCUGUUGCUCCAGCACUGUCAAAAAUCCACUGACCUGUGGAAGGCAAAGGGUCAGAUUUUGGUGAGCUCAAACGAGCACAGAUGGGGGAGAAAGAAAAAACAAAACAAAACAAAACAAUGGAGCUAUGUUAUCUUGCACUGACCCAACUACCCAUCUGAGGAUUCCGAAAUGCAACUGGAGUCCUAGGUAAAUCAGAUUCACACAUUUUCAGAAAGUAGUAGCCUGAUCCUGAAAGCCUUUAGCUGAAGAACUCUUCAUGUCUUCAUGCAACAGUUUUGUGCAGAAGCAUGCAGGAUCAAGCCCUAAAUUUGCUAGAAGAUUGUAAGUCGAUGCUUCUCUUGCAUAAGGUUCAGUGCUGAGAGGUGCCAGUGGCAUUCCAGCUGUAAGUGGAUUAAGGACAUUCGUCAUGACACAGAACGGGACCUAAGUUAUCAAGGAAAGAGCAAGCCUAACACACCUUUUUAACUAGGCUUGUGAUUAUUUUUAACCAACCAUACAAUGGUGUGUUUCUAUUUUCAUAGCCUGUAUUAUUAUGUUAUAGAAAAAUGACAGUUCUAUUGUGAGUAGCAUAUAUAUGUAAUAUUUUCUAACAAAGUGUUGGCUGCAAUAUUAAUGUAAGUAAGUGUUUUAAAAAGUAAAAAACAUGUAAAUUUACAAACAAAACCCUGCUCAAGUAUAUAGCUUGCUUGCAAUUACUAUUAGUGCUGUAUGUAUUUUUAAACAAGCUAUAAUACUGUGAUGAUGGUGUAAACUUACUUCUGUAGGCGAAAAAAUGUUCUAUUUAAAAAUGUCAAGAAAAUGAAGGAUCUAAAUGUUCUUAAAGUGCUAUGAACUAAAAAUAAGAAUUUUCACAGAA